rnacentral:rRNA from 1 species
UAAUACGGAAGGGGCAAGCGUUGUUCGGAAUUAUUGGGCGUAAAGGGCGCGUAGGUGGUCUUGUAUGUCUACCGUGAAAGCACACGGCUCAACCGUGUAGAGUCGGUGGAAACUGCAAGACUUGAGGUUGGGAGGGGCUGGUGGAAUUCCCUGUGUAGCGGUGAAAUGCGUAGAGAUGGGGGAGAACACUUGUGGCGAAGGCGGCCAGCUGGACCAAAUCUGACACUGAGGCGCGACAGCGUGGGGAGCAAACAGGAUUAGAUACCCUGGUAGUCCACGCCGUAAACGAUGGGCACUAGGUGCUGGCGGUAUUGAUCCCGUCAGUGCCGGCGCUAACGCAGUAAGUGCCCCGCCUGGGGAGUACGGUCGCAAGGCUG